GACGAACGCUGGCGGCGUGCCUAAUACAUGCAAGUCGAACGAGAGCGACCGGUGCUUGCACUGGUCAAUCUAGUGGCGAACGGGUGAGUAACACGUGGGUAACCUGCCCAUCAGAGGGGGAUAACAUCCGGAAACGGAUGCUAAAACCGCAUAGGUCUUCGAGCCGCAUGGCUUGAAGAGGAAAAGAGGCGCAAGCUUCUGCUGAUGGAUGGACCCGCGGUGCAUUAGCUAGUUGGUGAGGUAACGGCUCACCAAGGCCGUGAUGCAUAGCCGACCUGAGAGGGUGAUCGGCCACAUUGGGACUGAGACACGGCCCAAACUCCUACGGGAGGCAGCAGUAGGGAAUCUUCCGCAAUGGACGCAAGUCUGACGGAGCAACGCCGCGUGAGUGAAGAAGGUUUUCGGAUUGUAAAACUCUGUUGUUAGAGAAGAACAAGUGCUAGAGUAACUGUUAGCGCCUUGACGGUAUCUAACCAGAAAGCCACGGCUAACUACGUGCCAGCAGCCGCGGUAAUACGUAGGUGGCAAGCGUUGUCCGGAUUUAUUGGGCGUAAAGCGAGCGCAGGCGGUUCCUUAAGUCUGAUGUGAAAGCCCCCGGCUCAACCGGGGAGGGUCAUUGGAAACUGGGGAACUUGAGUGCAGAAGAGGAGAGUGGAAUUCCAUGUGUAGCGGUGAAAUGCGUAGAUAUAUGGAGGAACACCAGUGGCGAAGGCGACUCUCUGGUCUGUAACUGACGCUGAGGCCCGAAAGCGUGGGUAGCAAACAGG
rnacentral:rRNA from 1 species